GCCUCAAGGGAUCCUCCUGUCUCAGCCUCCCAAAGUGCUAGGAUUACAGGCAUGAGAAACCGCACAUGGCCAGAACUUGCCUUCUUAACUACUAUACAGAACCAGCUCCCCAGGGCAAGGAUGUAGAGGUGGUGACGACGGUGGUGUGUAGGGAUGGAGUUGUACAUCAAGGAAGGCCUCCAGGAGGAGGCUCCGUGUCAGGUGCUGGAGAUACAGUGAUGAACAAGACAUUCAAGGUACCUGCCUACAUGGAGUUUCCGGUCUAGUUGGGGGAAACAGACAGGAAGGAAGAUGUACCGAACAUUUGUCAUUCAUCGCUGCUCAACAAUUUUUAAAAUUCCUGUCUACAGUUUGGACUACUACUGAUACUUCAGCCAAACCAGCCUCCCUUGCAGCUAGAGCGCAGGCACGUCACCUCGGUUCCCCCAGUCACACUCACCCACCUGAGAUACCAAUUGGGAGAUGAGUUAUGUGUGGGAACAACUGCAUCCUUUUUUGCUGGCCUGGUGGUAGCCAAAGGAAUAUGGUUCUGGAGUCAGUGACAGCAGCGACAGCUUCCCCCUGAGUCCGAUGGGCAGCGUGCUUCUUGGAGAAGCUCCUGAAAGCUGCAUCUAGAGCCUGUUUCUCUGACAUCCCUAAAUAAACUCCCUUCCUACUUAAACUAGCCAUAGUGGACUCUUUUGCCUACAAACAAGAAUACUAAUAAAGAUGCAAAUAAACAAA